UACGAAGGGGGCUAGCGUUGUUCGGAAUUACUGGGCGUAAAGCGCGUGUAGGCGGGUCUUUAAGUCAGGGGUGAAAUGCCAGGGCUCAACCUUGGAACUGCCUUUGAUACUGGAGACCUUGAGUCCGGGAGAGGUGAGUGGAAUUGCGAGUGUAGAGGUGAAAUUCGUAGAUAUUCGCAAGAACACCAGUGGCGAAGGCGGCGACCUGGUCCGAUACUGACGCUGAGGCGCGAAAGCGUGGGGAGCAAACAGG
rnacentral:rRNA from 1 species